rnacentral:tRNA from 1 species
CAGAGAAUAGUUUAAGUAUAGAAUACUGGCUUUGGGGGCCAGAGGUGGGGGAAAUUCCUUCUUUGA